rnacentral:rRNA from 1 species
AAGACCUUGUGCUUUUGGAGCGGCCGAUGCCUGAUUAGCUUGUUGGUAAGGUAAAAGCUUACCAAGGCUUCGAUCAGUAGCUGGUCUGAGAGGACGACCAGCCACACUGGGACUGAGACACGGCCCAGACUCCUACGGGAGGCAGCAGUGGGGAAUUUUGGACAAUGGGGGCAACCCUGAUCCAGCCAUGCCGCGUGAGUGAAGAAGGCCUUCGGGUUGUAAAGCUCUUUCAGCCGGAACGAAACGGUUACGGAUAAUACCCGUGACUACUGACGGUACCGGAAGAAGAAGCACCGGCUAACUACGUGCCAGCAGCCGCGGUAAUACGUAGGGUGCAAGCGUUAAUCGGAAUUACUGGGCGUAAAGCGUGUGCAGGUGGUUUUGUAAGUCAGAUGUGAAAGCCCCGGGCUCAACCUGGGAACU